AUUGAACGCUGGCGGCAGGCCUAACACAUGCAAGUCGGGCGGAUGAAGGGAGCUUGCUCCUGGAUUCAGCGGCGGACGGGUGAGUAAUGCCUAGGAAUCUGCCUGGUAGUGGGGGAUAACGUCCGGAAACGGGCGCUAAUACCGCAUACGUCCUGAGGGAGAAAGUGGGGGAUCUUCGGACCUCACGCUAUCAGAUGAGCCUAGGUCGGAUUAGCUAGUUGGUGGGGUAAAGGCCUACCAAGGCGACGAUCCGUAACUGGUCUGAGAGGAUGAUCAGUCACACUGGAACUGAGACACGGUCCAGACUCCUACGGGAGGCAGCAGUGGGGAAUAUUGGACAAUGGGCGAAAGCCUGAUCCAGCCAUGCCGCGUGUGCGAAGAAGGUCUUCGGAUUGUAAAGCACUUUAAGUUGGGAGGAAGGGCAGUAAGUUGAUACCUUGCUGUUUUGACGUUACCAACAGAAUAAGCACCGGCUAACUUCGUG
rnacentral:rRNA from 1 species